rnacentral:rRNA from 1 species
AACGCGAAGAACCUUACCUGGGCUCGAAAUGUAGUGGACCACGGUGGAAACAUCGUUUUCUAGCAAUAGACCGCUAUAUAGGUGCUGCAUGGCUGUCGUCAGCUCGUGUCGUGAGAUGUUGGGUUAAGUCCCGCAACGAGCGCAACCCUUAUCUCCAGUUGCCAUCAUUCAGUUGGGCACUCUGGCGAAACCGCCUCGGAUAACGGGGAGGAAGGUGGGGAUGACGUCAAGUCCUCAUGGCCUUUAUGUCCAGGGCUACACACGUGCUACAAUGGCCGGUACAAACCGCUGCAACCCCGCGAGGGUGAGCUAAUCGGAAAAAGCCGGCCUCAGUUCGGAUUGGAGUCUGCAACUCGACUCCAUGAAGCUGGAAUCGCUAGUAAUCGUGGAUCAGCAUGCCACGGUGAAUACGUUCCCGGGCCUUGUACACACCGGCUAC